rnacentral:rRNA from 1 species
GAGGGGCAUCGGGAAGAAAGCUUGCUUUCUUUGCCGGCGACCGGCGCACGGGUGAGUAACACGUAUCCAACCUGCCCUUUACUCGGGGAUAGCCUUUCGAAAGAAAGAUUAAUACCCGAUAGCAUAAUGAUUCCGCAUGGUUUCAUUAUUAAAGGAUUCCGGUAAAGGAUGGGGAUGCGUUCCAUUAGGUUGUUGGUGAGGUAACGGCUCACCAAGCCUUCGAUGGAUAGGGGUUCUGAGAGGAAGGUCCCCCACAUUGGAACUGAGACACGGUCCAAACUCCUACGGGAGGCAGCAGUGAGGAAUAUUGGUCAAUGGGCGCUAGCCUGAACCAGCCAAGUAGCGUGAAGGAUGAAGGCUCUAUGGGUCGUAAACUUCUUUUAUAUAAGAAUAAAGUGCAGUAUGUAUACUGUUUUGUAUGUAUUAUAUGAAUAAGGAUCGGCUAACUCCGUGCCAGCAGCCGCGGUAAUACGGAGGAUCCGAGCGUUAUCCGGAUUUAUUGGGUUUAAAGGGAGCGUAGGUGGACUGGUAAGUCAGUUGUGAAAGUUUGCGGCUCAACCGUAAAAUUGCAGUUGAUACUGUCAGUCUUGAGUACAGUAGAGGUGGGCGGAAUUCGUGGUGUAGCGGUGAAAUGCUUAGAUAUCACGAAGAACUCCGAUUGCGA